GUUGUGGUGGGAAGGGCAGGAAUCAAAUGCAGGUGGAGCUAAUGAGGUGUUAAUUGGGCCUUGCCCACAGUUUCGUUUGUUUGGAGGGACACUGCCCAAGAUGGCUGCCCUGUGGAGAGAGAGGGAGAUGAAGCAUGAAAAAAUAAAGUAGCAGCUGUAAAAAAUAAAGUAGCAUGGAAGUUUGAACAUUUUUUUUUAUUUUCAUAUUGGACUGGCCAUUUCGGAUUUAUGUUUGGACCUUUCCCUAAAUGGAGUACUCUACGUUUCCAGAUGAAUUAUCAGACUAUCGUGUUUAAUGGACUGAAGUUUCAUCCUGGACAUUGGCUCGGGCCUGCUGCUCAAGGUUGUCCGGAGCACCUGCCUGACAGAAAUACAAUGCUGGGCGACUUAUGAUAAAGUUUGUUUCUCGGUGGGAAGGCGACCUGGUCUGGCUGGAAGGCGUGUUAGGGGCACUUGACAGGAGAUGUUCUAGGAUUCGAAGGCCGGAAAAAAUUGCAGACGAGGACACUGUUCAAUGACAGCGGGACACAGCGGAAACACAUCAAAGCAAACGGAUGGAGGCGGUCAUUGCGACGUGAAUUUGCGCGUGAAGUCAAAAGCCCUAAAGACGCACGUAUGAAGAUGGAGACGGCCCCACCCUCUACCCCACCCCUGCACUGACACACAGCUCAUCAGAACACAGAGUUCAGAGGCGCCGGCCUGUGUAUCGCCUCUGGAGGAGAGGGAGAGACGACAAGCCAACACCAGGACAAGACGUUCUGAUUGGUGACUGAAGACAGAGGGUCUGAGUGGUGACUGAAGACAGAGGGUCAGUGCGGCCAGCUGCCAGACUAGAAGCUCCACAGCACUUGGAUCAGGACGACGGUCUACGGUCCAACAUGCUGCCACGAGGGGGGUGAUUCCAAUGGGGAAGCGGUGUGGCCCACCACGCCAGACGGUACCAUCAAGGCUACUCCUGAUGGCGGGGACACAGUGGGAGGAACAUGGGGGGGGGGGGGGGGGUACCUCCUCACAGCCGGCGAGGAGAACCCACGCCAUCUCUGUGGUGACGCGUCCUCCACGUUGUGCGAGAAACGGCCUGAAGAGGGCUCGGACAUGGGCAGUUGGAGAAAGGGUGGAGGAGGAGUUUUUCCCCGAGACGAGGCUGUCUUGACGCCACUCAUUUUUGUCGGAGGUGUCGGCGAUGACCUGGACCCAUCUGGCCGAUCAGAUGCUCGAGUUCGACCGUGCUGAAGUCCAGCGUUGAGGAACCCGCGAUGCUUCGGUUCACUCCCUGCUGCGUCAGCCCCACCCAGGAUUCAACGUUCCCGAAGCUCCGUCACACCAACAGGGAGCGGGAUUGUCGAACUCUUUUGAGAUUGCCGAUUACUUUGUUUGAAUAUUUUGCCCUUUGUAUUCUGUUUUAAUUGUUUGACUUUUUAUGCAGUUUCAGUUGUAUAAAUUGAAUUUGUAAAAGUCUGUAUGAUCAAUAAAAAGAAUUGCCAAAGAAAUAUGAGCCUUGUGUGAGUCCCUGUCUGGCCCUUUAUUUGUUUUUAUAGUUUUCAUUUUAAAGUGCAGUUCAAUAACGACAAAGUUGACAAAUCGAUAGCGCUAAUAAGGACGACUGCAAAAUCAACCCAGCUGUCAGCUGGAACACAAACACCUAAACACACACAAUACGCACACCGGGCUGCUGCCUUGCUGAAGAG
ensembl:lncRNA